CAGGGAUCCUUUAUGUGGAUAAAUUAAGAUUUAAAACAGGUGACCUAGAGAUGUUGCAUGUGAUUAGCUGAUACACUUUACCCUUGCUCCUACGAAAACAGCCGUGAGCUUCACAGGGACGACUCUUUCCUAGGGCAUUUGAUUCUGAAGUGGCCUGAAGGAGGUAGUGGAAGUGUGGGCUUGUGAGGCGAUUAUUUCAGUGGCUGAAUUAAACCAGACUCUUUUCAGAAGAAUUCAAAACGAACAUGGCUAAACAUGCAAAAUAAACACAGGAUCUUCAGACAUAACGACGUCUAGCUUUGAAGCAUGGUUUGAAGAUUUUCAUGAGGCCUUCCUUUCUACGUAUUCAAAUGCAAUACUACAACUCCAAGAUCAAUAGCAUAUUUGGCUAUCAAACCAGUCUUGCGAUAAACAGGAUUUCAGGGUCCAUCUGAAAUAGUCCUCCCCAUUCUGCCUUUCAAAGUAUUACAUGCUGACCUUCAAAGUCACAUGAUUUCGAAAUGCGACCAAAUCAUGGCCCUCGGCCCUUGCGGUGCUCCACUCUGAGAAUGGAUUACUGGGCAAUGUGCAUCCUCUUGGUUCAUCACACAAUUGUCUUCUGGCAGACCCUGCAUGUAAUUCACGCCUUCUUGGGAAGGCCUAACCCCAAGGAGAGUGCUGCGGAAGGCACUGCUUUGUCCUGAACCAGAACCCGGCAAAUCCAAGCACCCUUCUCUCUUCCUCACCAACAAUCAAGUUAUUCUUACAAAUAAAGGUUCGGCCUGGGUAUCGUUAAAGAUAACCUUUGUGCAAGUGAAGUCCGUCUUUCUCUCAACAUCAUCAGUAUUUGGGGAGGAGUGAGUGACCCCUGGGAGCAGGGAUGCAGAGAUCU
rnacentral:lncRNA from 1 species